GUCCCUUCGGGAACAUCCGAUAAAAUUGGAACGAUACAGAGAAGAUUAGCAUGGCCCCUGCGCAAGGAUGACAUGCACAAAAAAGGACUCCAACAAUCAAAA